UGUUUGGCACCUCGAUGUCGGCUCAUCUCAUCCUGGGGCUGUAGCAGGUCCCAAGGGUAUGGCUGUUCGCCAUUUAAAGAGGUACGCGAGCUGGGUUUAGAACGUCGUGAGACAGUUCGGUCCCUAUCUGCCGUGGACGUUGGAGAUUUGAGAGGGGUUGCUCCUAGUACGAGAGGACCGGAGUGAACGAACCUCUGGUGUUCCGGUUGUGUCGCCAGACGCAUUGCCGGGUAGCUAUGUUCGGAAUAGAUAACCGCUGAAAGCAUCUAAGCGGGAAGCUAGCCUCAAGAUGAGAUCUCCCUGAGGGCUUGACCCUCCUAAAGGCUCGUCUAAGACUAAGACGUUGAUAGGUUGGAUGUGGAAGUGCAGUAAUGUAUGAAGCUAACCAAUACUAAUUCGCCGUGAGGCUUGGUCAU
rnacentral:rRNA from 1 species